rnacentral:rRNA from 1 species
ACGCUGGCGGCGUGCUUAACACAUGCAAGUCGUACGAUGAAGCCUGGCUUGCUAGGUGGAUUAGUGGCGAACGGGUGAGUAAUACGUGAGUAACCUACCUUUAACUCUGGGAUAAGCCUGGGAAACUGGGUCUAAUACCGGAUACGACCAAUCUCCGCAUGGGGUGUUGGUGGAAAGCGUUAUGUAGUGGUUAUAGAUGGGCUCACGGCCUAUCAGCUUGUUGGUGAGGUAACGGCUCACCAAGGCGACGACGGGUAGCCGGCCUGAGAGGGUGACCGGCCACACUGGGACUGAGACACGGCCCAGACUCCUACGGGAGGCAGCAGUGGGGAAUAUUGCACAAUGGGCGCAAGCCUGAUGCAGCGACGCCGCGUGAGGGAUGACGGCCUUCGGGUUGUAAACCUCUGUUAGCAGGGAAGAAGAGAGAUUGACGGUACCUGCAGAGAAAGCGCCGGCUAACUACGUGCCAGCAGCCGCGGUAAUACGUAGGGCGCGAGCGUUGUCCGGAAUUAUUGGGCGUAAAGAGCUUGUAGGCGGUUUGUCGCGUCUGCUGUGAAAGGCCGGAGCUUAACUCCGUGUAUUGCAGUGGGUACGGGCAGACUAGAGUGCAGUAGGGGAGACUGGAAUUCCUGGUGUAGCUGUGGAAUGCGCAGAUAUCAGGAGGAACACCGAUGGCGAAGGCAGGUCUCUGGGCUGUAACUGACGCUGAGAAGCGAAAGCAUGGGGAGCGAACAGGAUUAGAUACCCUGGUAGUCCAUGCCGUAAACGUUGGGCACUAGGUGUGGGGGACAUUCCACGUUUUCCGCGCCGUAGCUAACGCAUUAAGUGCCCCGCCUGGGGAGUACGGCCGCAAGGCUAAAACUCAAAGAAAUUGACGGGGGCCCGCACAAGCGGCGGAGCAUGCGGAUUA